CAGAUUGCACACUGAGUUUUUGGUAUAGGUGUUCUGGGGCUAAUGAUCUAUGAAGAAAGGAGGUGGAACUGAGGAGUCUAAAAUUCCUGAGAACUCUGUUUUUUAUGAUUACGUUGGGAAUAAUCCGGCAAAAUGAGGAUCAUUCAGUGUAGGUUCAAUGGAUAACGGGGAUGGGAUAGCUGCUUGAAAAUUGCUAAUCAUGCUUCUUUUAUUUGGUUUAAUAAUUGAUGGAAACAGGUUAAGAAGUUUCAUCCUGAUG
rnacentral:misc_RNA from 1 species